AGAUUCUCAUGUUCUAUGCUUCCAGUUCUCCUGCACAAGUCAUUAAGUAAACAAGAUAAACUACAGAAAGCUGUACAGCAUAUACUGUCUCUUCUGGAAGAGAUGAAAACUGACGUGAAAGACUUGAAAAAUAGGCUUGCGCAGAUGGAGUGCCAAACCCAAGAAAAGGAGCUGACAUCUGACACAAGGGUUACAGUUUCCCUUAAAAUCUUCAGAGGUGUAGAAUGUCUCAAGUUGGAUUUAAAGACAGAUCCAGGAAAACGUGCACGCUUGGAAUGCUAUUUGGCGAUGAGGGGAGGCUUUAGCUUAAAGCUCGUAGUCAGGGGUAUACUGUCUGUGCUAUUUUCAACAGAAUUAGCCCGGUGUUACAACUAUAAUGGCCUGAAGGGAAAGAAGGGACUGAAGAACCACCCCUUUAUUUUAAGAACAGUUCAGGGAAUGCUAUUUGGCAAUGCGUGGGGGAUUCACUUUAAAGCAUAUCGUCAGGGACAAACGGUCUCUGCUAUUUUCAAAUAAAUUAGCCAGGUCUUACAACUUCCAUGGUCUGAAGGGAAAGAAGGGACUCACGAACCACCCCUUUCUUUUAGAAACAGUUCAGGAUGCUGCACGAAAAACUUGCCCUCAAGCUACUGAAGCAGAACUGCAGACGCAGAUCUCUAGCUGGUUAGCUGGUGCUAGGGAUUGAGAGAAUGGCAGAAGGGAAAGGGCACCUGAGCACAGAUAAAUAGUUCUGGGGUGGGGAACGAAUUGGAGGACAAGUAAAGCUGUACAAUUUUUGCAUAUUUAAAAUUAGUUUUUUAAUUAACAAUUUCAAUAAACAUCAGAAAACGA
rnacentral:misc_RNA from 1 species